AUUACAUGAUGAAUUGCUUUUGGUCCGUGUUUAUGAUCACUUUGAUUUUAAAACAAAAGCUUUUUUCUGAUACC